rnacentral:misc_RNA from 1 species
AUUACAAGAAUUAGACAAACUUGAUCAGCAACAUCGUGAAACUUUAAAAGAAGUAGAAAAAUUGAAAAUGGACAUAAGACAACUUCCUGAAUCAGUAAUUGUGGAAACAACAGAGUAUAAAUGUUUACAAUCGCAAUUUUCCGUAUUAUAUAAUGAGUCUAUGCAAUUGAAAACACAAUUGGAUGAUGCUCGUCAACAAUUACAAUCGAGCAAAAAUGCACAUUUACGCCACAUUGAGAUGAUGGAGAGUGAAGAAUUAAUGGCUCAAAAAAAAUUGCGCGGCGAGUGUAUACAACUCGAAGACGUCUUAGCACAAUUACGCAAGGAAUACGAAAUGCUUCGCAUUGAAUUUGAACAGAAUCUAGCUGCCAAUGAACAGACAGGUCCGAUCAAUCGAGAAAUGCGGCACCUAAUUACCUCUCUUCAGAAUCACAAUCAGCAAUUGAAAGGAGAAGUGCAUCGGUACAAGCGAAAAUAUAAAGAAACUUCUACUGAAAUACCUCGAUUAAAGAAGGAAGUAGAGGAAUUGACAACUAAAUUAGGGCAACAAACGUCGCAAGAAAAUAAAGAAGGGAAUAAUUCAGAUGGUAGCGGAAAAGAAGAAGAUGCUUCAAAUUCGUUGCCAGGAUCUACACAAAUAAAAGAAGAAAGUGGUGUUACUAUAAAGAGGGAAUCUGGUGCUGAUGAAGAGGUAGAAACAAUUGAAGUUGGAGAAGGUGAAGGCAACAAAAAUACACCAGACUCUCUAACGUUAACUUCGCCAACUCUAAAAAAGGAGAAGGAUAUAAAACGUGAGAAGGAUAUCAAGAAAGAAUCUGUGAAAACUGAACAUCGGGAUCCUGCACAUCGCACCAAAGACGCAAAAAUGGCAGAAUCGGAACUCGUGAGAGAUUUGAAGGCACAACUUAAAAAAGCUGUGAAUGAGAUGAAAGAAAUGAAGCUUUUAUUAGACAUGUACAAAGGUGUUGGAAAAGAGCAGCGAGAUAAAGUACAGUUAAUGGCUGCAGAGCGUAAAACGAGAGCAGAGUUGGAGGAUUUACGACAACAAGUCAAAAAAAUUCAAGAAAGUAAACGUGAGGAACGUAAGAAGUUAGCUGAUGAAGAUGCGCAGAUAAAAAUUAAGAAAUUAGAAGAACAAGCAUACACAUUGCAACGUCAGGUUGCUUGUCAAAAACAGAAUUGUAUUUGGUUGCAGGAAGAGGAAGCACUUCUGAAUGAAAUGGAAGUGACUGGACAAGCGUUCGAAGAUAUGCAGGAACAGAACUCUAGACUCAUACAGCAGUUACGUGAGAAAGAUGACGCAAAUUUUAAGCUCAUGACAGAGAGGAUCAAAAGUAAUCAAUUGCACAAACUUGCGAGAGAGGAGAAGGAUGUAUUGAAAGAACAAGUGUCUACAUUAACGACACAAGUGGAAGCGGCCAACGUAGUUGUACGAAAAUUGGAAGAGAAGGAGCGUCUUUUACAAAACUCUCUCGCCACGGUGGAAAAAGAAUUAGCGCUGAGACAGCAAGCGAUGGAGAUGCAUAAACGGAAAGCGAUAGAAAGUGCACAAUCUGCAGCUGAUCUCAAACUCCAUCUUGAAAAAUAUCAUUCCCAAAUGAAAGAAGCACAACAAGUCGUAGCCGAGAAAACAAGUUCCUUGGAAGCUGAAGCAUAUAAAACUAAAAGAUUACAGGAAGAAAUAGCGCAACUGAGGCGCAAAGUCGAGCGAAUGAAGAAGAUUGAGCUCGCUGAAACCCUGGAUGAAGUAAUGGCGGAAGAGCUGCGAGAAUACAAGGAAACUCUAACGUGUCCGUCUUGUAAGGUGAAGCGGAAGGAUGCCGUGCUCACCAAGUGCUUCCACGUGUUUUGCUGGGAUUGUCUACGCACACGUUAUGAGACGCGGCAACGAAAAUGUCCCAAAUGUAAUUGCGCCUUCGGUGCCAACGACUACCAUCGGCUGUAUCUAUCCACAUGAAGAAGAAGAUACUGACUUGAAAAAUACGCCGCGGUGUAGAGUUAUGUUUUGUAAUAUGUUACGAUCUUCCUUCAAUCGCGGGAAGGAUAAUGACGUGUAAAACAGGAUUGCCGUGUGCAAAGAGUUAAACCUACAACAUUAACAGUAUCUUCAACUGUGACUGCUUUUUUUCUCUCGGAAUCGUUCGCUGUAUUAUUCAAUCGAUGUUUAACGGUAAAGAGUGUCUGUAUGAUUGUUAUCACACAAGAAAAACAUUCUAAUUGUUGCGCUCGAGACUAUAAGCCGUGUCAUUCUUAUGUUUUCUCUUUUAGGACUACGGUCCUUCCUGGGGUAUUUUUAAUUACGUGUAGAAAAUGCGAGAGGUGUUCGAGAAAUAAUACGACGCUUCGCGGGUUUCGGAAAAAUGAUUGCGCUGGAGUGUCGGAAGAAAAGUAACAGGACAGAAGGGAUCACUACAGCACUUCGCGUAGCUCUCAGGAACAAUCGUAUUUUAUUCUAUGAGCAGCAUGACAAUUACGCUUCUCGGCUUCUUCGAGUUAUGCGUAUAUAUAAAUAUAUACUGAACUCAAGGCACGUUAGUCCCCUCGUUUAUCAAAAGAGAAUAAAACAUCCGAUCUGCCAAUCACAAUAUAUAUAUAUAUAUGGAAUGUCGCAGCAUCACUCAACAAAAACUGAUUAGCGGCGCAAUAUUUCUCUUAUUUAAUCUUUUAUCUCUAUGUAAAUCCCGUUGAAUAACUCUGAUUUCUCAUUUACGCCUUCCAGGAAGCAUUUUUUUUUAAUUUCCCGGGGAAAUUCUAAUAAAUAUACAAAUGUUAUGUCGAAUCUGUAACGUCAUGUCAAUGCUCAAAAUCUGAAAAUUCACCUAAAAAGCGUAUUAGCUGAAAGAUUUAAGUAAUAAUCAGUACGUUUGCGGUAAUUCUGCGAUGAAAGCUACUUCUCGAACACUCCUCGUAACUCGAUGCAUUCAGCACGGCCCAAUAGGACUCACGUCGGCGCCACUUCGAUGGCUCGGCUCAAAAAGUGGGUAAUUUGAAAAAUCUCAUGUUACAAAUGUAUUCUCAAUCUUCUAACUUGAAAAAUAUAUCUACAUAUUUGCAA